rnacentral:rRNA from 1 species
GAUGAACGCUGGCGGCGUGCUUAACACAUGCAAGUCGAACGAAGCACUCUAUUUGAUUUUUUUCGGAAAUGAAGAUUUUGUGACUGAGUGGCGGACGGGUGAGUAACGCGUGGGUAACCUGCCUCAUACAGGGGGAUAACAGUUGGAAACGACUGCUAAUACCGCAUAAGCGCACAGUACUGCAUGGUACAGUGUGAAAAACUCCGGUGGUAUGAGAUGGACCCGCGUCUGAUUAGCUAGUUGGUGGGGUAACGGCCUACCAAGGCGACGAUCAGUAGCCGACCUGAGAGGGUGACCGGCCACAUUGGGACUGAGACACGGCCCAAACUCCUACGGGAGGCAGCAGUGGGGAAUAUUGCACAAUGGGGGAGACCCUGAUGCAGCGACGCCGCGUGAACGAAGGAGUAUUUCGGUAUGUAAAGUUCUAUCAGCAGGGAAGAUAAUGACGGUACCUGACUAAGAAGCACCGGCUAAAUACGUGCCAGCCGCCGCCGUAA